CACCUCAUCGACUGGAAGGAAUCCCUUCCGGUUGAUGAGGUUGUUACACCUCAUUGACCGGAAGGAAUCCCUUCUGGUUGAUGAGGUU
rnacentral:miRNA from 1 species